GCCCUUAGAGUUUGAUCCUGGCUCAAGAUGACCUUUGGCGGCGUGCUUAACACGUGCAAGUCGAACGAAGCACUUAUCUUUGAUUCUUCGGAUGAAGAGGUUUGUGACUGAGUGGCGGACGGGUGAGUAACGCGUGGGUAACCUGCCUCAUACGGGGGGAUAACAGUUAGAAAUGACUGCUAAUACCGCAUAACACCACGGAGCCGCAUGGCUCAGUGGGAAAAACUCCGGUGGUAUGAGAUGGACCCGCGUCUGAUUAGGUAGUUGGUGGGGUAACGGCCUACCAAGCCAACGAUCAGUAGCCGACCUGAGAGGGUGACCGGCCACAUUGGGACUGAGACACGGCCCAAACUCCUACGGGAGGCAGCAGUGGGGAAUAUUGCACAAUGGGGGAAACCCUGAUGCAGCGACGCCGCGUGAGCGAAGAAGUAUUUCGGUAUGUAAAGCUCUAUCAGCAGGGAAGAAAAUGACGGUACCUGACUAAGAAGCACCGGCUAAAUACGUGCCAGCAGCCGCGGUAAUACGUAUGGUGCAAGCGUUAUCCGGAUUUACUGGGUGUAAAGGGAGCGUAGACGGCUGUGUAAGUCUGAAGUGAAAGCCCGGGGCUCAACCCCGGGACUGCUUUGGAAACUAUGCAGCUAGAGUGUCGGAGAGGUAAGUGGAAUUCCCAGUGUAGCGGUGAAAUGCGUAGAUAUUGGGAGGAACACCAGUGGCGAAGGCGGCUUACUGGACGAUGACUGACGUUGAGGCUCGAAAGCGUGGGGAGCAAACAG
rnacentral:rRNA from 1 species